AACAGGGAUUGCCCUAGUAACGGCGAGUGAAGCGGCAACAGCUCAAAUUUGAAAUCUGGCUCUUUUAGAGUCCGAGUUGUAAUUUGCAGAGGGCGCUUUGGCUUUGGCAGCGGUCCAAGUUCCUUGGAACAGGACGUCACAGAGGGUGAGAAUCCCGUACGUGGUCGCUGGCUAUUGCCGUGUAAAGCCCCUUCGACGAGUCGAGUUGUUUGGGAAUGCAGCUCUAAAUGGGAGGUACAUUUCUUCUAAAGCUAAAUAUUGGCCAGAGACCGAUAGCGCACAAGUAGAGUGAUCGAAAGAUGAAAAGCACUUUGGAAAGAGAGUCAAACAGCACGUGAAAUUGUUGAAAGGGAAGCGCUUGCAGCCAGACUUGCUUACAGUUGCUCAUCCGGGCUUUUGCCCGGUGCACUCUUCUGUAGGCAGGCCAGCAUCAGUUUGGGCGGUAGGAUAAAGGUCUCUGUCACGUACCUCUCUUCGGGGAGGCCUUAUAGGGGAGACGACAUACUACCAGCCUGGACUGAGGUCCGCGCAUCUGCUAGGAUGCUGGCGUAAUGGCUGUAAGCGGCCCGUCUUGAAACACGGACCAAGGAGUCUAACAUCUAUGCGAGUGUUUGGGUGUCAAGCCCGAGCGCGUAAUGAAAGUGAACGGAGGUAGGAACCCGCAAGGGUGCACUAUCGACCGAUCCUGAUGUCUUCGGAAGGAUUUGAGUAAGAGCAUGGCUGUUGGGACCCGAAAGAUGGUGAACUAUGCUUGAAUAGGGUGAAGCCAGAGGAAACUCUGGUGGAGGCUCGCAGCGGUUCUGACGUGCAAAUCGAUCGUCAAAUUUGGGCAUAGGGGCGAAAGACUAAUCGAACUAUCUAGUAG
rnacentral:rRNA from 2 species